GACGAACGCUGGCGGCUUGCUUAACACAUGCAAGUCGAACGGUAAGGCCCCUUCGGGGGUACACGAGUGGCGAACGGGUGAGUAACACGUGAGCAACCUGCCCUUGACUCUGGGAUAACAGUUAGAAACAGCUGCUAAUACCGGAUACGACCUUCGAUGACAUCAUCUGGAGGUGGAAAGCGCUUUAGCGGUCAAGGAUGGGCUCGCGGCCUAUCAGCUUGUUGGUGAGGUAACGGCUCACCAAGGCUUCGACGGGUAGCCGGCCUGAGAGGGCGACCGGCCACACUGGGGCUGCGAUACGGCCCAGACUCCUACGAGAGGCAGCAGUGGGGAAUAUUGCACAAUGGGCGCGAGCCUGAUGCAGCAACGCCGCGUGCGGGAUGACGGCCUUCGGGUUGUAAACCGCUUUCAGUUCCGACGAAGCGCAAGUGACGGUAGGAACGGAAGAAGGACCGGCCAACUACGUGCCAGCCGCCGCAGUAA
rnacentral:rRNA from 1 species